CAUUCUAUUGAAAAUACUGUGUGGAUAAGAAUCAUGAAAUAGCAUGGCCCCUUAAAAAUGAACUAAAAUAAUUCACUUGGCAAUGAGAAGACUGGAGGUGUUUCUCAGUGAGCUUUACUACAGCCUGUCUCCUGUGUUGUGCAUCUCUCAAGUAGUUUAAUAAAGAAUUAUCAUCAGAAAGCAUGCAUUAAAUGAGUUGAAUAUCUCGGUCCUAACUGUGGAAUAUUAAUGCAAGAAGAAGUAAGCAGAAGAUGGUGAUCCACUAUUAUCUGGCUCUUAUUUACUAGCUACCAAGAGAUUCAAAUGGCGCCCUCUUGGUUAUAGUUUCUGUUCUACCAUGGUGUACCUCUUUCCUCCUCAGAGUCUCCAGGAUCCAAAGAAUCUAUGUAUAAAGUAAACAAAUUUAGGAUGCAGGUUACUUAUAUUGCUACAAAUCAAUUAACAAAGAUUGCCUACAUUUUAACAAUUAACUCCUAAGCGGUGCCCUUUAAGUAACAACUAUUCUUGUGUUUUUACACCUCUCUGCUCCCUGUCUGGAAUGCCUUCCUUCAUUUUCACUGUCUAUUGAGAUUCUACUCAAUUCACCAGACUCAGUUUGAUUUUCCUUCUCCUGAAAGCCUUCCCUGACUCUCUUAACCUAAUGUGAGCUAUCCUUUCUGUAUGAAUUUAGGGCUAGCAACACUCAUCUGAAAAUUCAUCUUAUAUUAUUACAACAUUUAUUCUAUUACUUUCUUGAAAUGCUAUUUAAAUAUUAUGUUUUUAUUUAACUUUUUACCUGUUUACAUGUCAUCUCCCCAUCAACUGGACCCAGAUGAUCUUGGAGGGGAAAGUAAGACAGGGAAAUAGAGAAGAUGAGUUGCACAAUGUCUGGAAAACACUUUGAAUUCCUCAGAAUGAAGGCUUAUAAAUAUAGGCUAUGAUUAUCAUCAUAAUCAUCAUUAUCAUUAUUAUUACUUCUAUUAAAUGUAUCCAUCUGAUUUUAGGGAGCUUUCAUUAAACACCAAUAGAAAGAAGGUGAUCACCCUUUGGAAUCCAACUAUUUGUUAGUAAGCUAGAAGACUACUCAAAUAAACAAUGUACAGAGUAGCCUACCCUCUCUGAAAAUAUUUCUCCAAUGACCUAUGGAGGAAAAGGGAUGGUGGGGAGGGACUACAAUGCUUUACUGUCCGUGGCAACACAUCUGGCCUGCUUGGUAUAUUGUAGUCUCUCAAGAACCAUAGAAAGAUCAGCAACCCUUCAGCACUUUGA